rnacentral:rRNA from 1 species
UAGAUUUGAUUUAAUUUUUAUUUCCUUCCUUUUGAAUACACUCCUUAAAACUAUUUUUAAGGAUCAAAGUGUUUCAAAUCGUUUACUGUGAAGAAAUUAGAGUGUUCAAAGCAGGCGUAACCUAGCCUUUGAAAUAUAUUAGCAUGGGAUAAUGAAAUAGGACUUUAGUUCUACUUUCGUUGGUUUCUAGGGCUGAAGUAAUGAUUAAUAGGGAUAGUUGGGGUCACUAGUAUUUAAUUGUCAGAGGUGAAAUUCUAAGAUUUAUUAAAGACUAACUACUGCGAAAGCAUUUGACAAGGAUGUUUUCAUUAAUCAAGAACGAAAGUUGGGGGAUCGAAGAUGAUCAGAACCGUCGUAGUCUCAACCAUAAACUAUGCCGACCAAGGAUCCGGGGUUGUUAAUAUGGAUGACUCUCCGGGCACUUAUAGAGAAAUCAUAAGUAUUUGGGCUCCGGGGGGAGUAUGGUCGCAAGGCUGAAACUUAAAGGAAUUGACGGAAGGGCACCACAAGGAGUGGAACCUGCGGUUUAAUUUGACUCAACACGGGAAAACUUACCAGGUCCAGACACAGUGAGGAUUGACAGAUUGAGAGUUCUUUCUUGAUUCUGUGAGUGGUGGUGCAUGGCCGUUUCUAGUUGGUGGAGUGAUUUGUCUGGUUAAUUCCGUUAACGAACGAGACCUUAACCUAUUAAAUAGUUAUUUAAACUUGAUUUCUUGUAAAUCAAAUGUUUAACUAACUUCUUAGAGGGACUCUUCAC